UACGUAGGUGGCAAGCGUUACUCGGAAUCACUAGGCGUAAAGCGCAGGUAGGAGGUUUUGUAAGCCGGAUGUGAAAUCCCCGGGCUUAACCUGGGAAUGGCAUUCGGGACUGCAAGGCUGGAGUGCGGCAGAGGAGACUGGAAUUCCUGGUGUAGCAGUGAAAUGCGUAGAUAUCAGGAGGAACACCGAUGGCGAAGGCAGGUCUCUGGGCUGACACUGACGCUCAUGCACGAAAGCGUGGGGAGCAAACAGG
rnacentral:rRNA from 1 species